GGACUUCCCUGGUGGUCUUGUG
rnacentral:miRNA from 1 species